rnacentral:rRNA from 1 species
AAUAGCCCAUGGAAACGUGGAUUAAUGCCCCAUGGCACCCUUGUACCGCAUGUACGGGGGUUAAAGAUUUAUCGGACAGGGAUGGCGAUGCGUGCCAUUAGCUGGUUGGUAAGGUAACGGCUUACCAAGGCAACGAUGGCUAGGGGCCCUGAGAGGGGGAUCCCCCACACUGGUACUGAGACACGGACCAGACUCCUACGGGAGGCAGCAGUGAGGAAUAUUGGACAAUGGAGGCAACUCUGACCCAGCCAUGCCGCGUGCAGGAAGACUGCCCUAUGGGUUGUAAACUGCUUUUAUACAGGAAGAAACGCCAUUACGUGUAGUGGUUUGACGGUACUGUAAGAAUAAGCACCGGCUAACUCCGUGCCAGCAGCCGCGGUAAUACGGAGGGUGCAAGCGUUAUCCGGAAUCAUUGGGUUUAAAGGGUCCGCAGCGGUCAAUUAAGUCAGAGGUGAAAUCCCACAGCUUAACUGUGGAACUGCCUUUGAUACUGGUUGACUUGAGUGAUACGGAAGUAGAUAGAAUGUGUAGUGUAGCGGUGAAAUGCAUAGAUAUUACACAGAAUACCGAUUG